ACCGGUUUAUCUAGUGGCAUAACAAUAACGUGUGAGAUAUUUGAUAUUGGUGGCCAAAAAACGAUAUUAACAGUGUGAAGAUACAUGAGUUGUACAGAAAUACUGGGGGGAAGGGAGCGCACUUUGGGUUUGCUUGGACACUGCGGGGGACGCGUCCCACUGCCCACGCCCCCCCCCCCUCCCCCCCAGGAUCCGCCGGUCGUUUAGAAUGACCAUUUAAUGACCGCCGACAGGUUGCGUUACAGGUGCGAAUAGCUGCCGGCCUCGACGGUCUUUGCGCCCCUAAUUAUUUUAACGUUCAACAUUUUUUAAUCAACGUGCACCACACUUAGAACGCGCGCAUAAGUAGAGACGCGCAGCCGUUAACGUGUCGCCGCUCGAGCUCGUGCGGUCGCAGCUCGCGCGCAGUCGGCCGUUGCCACAGCAACCGCCCGGGGAGGGAUGCGCGCUCGCGCUCGCUCUGGAGCGCCGGUGCUGAUGCUGAUGCUGAUGAUGAUGAUGAUGCUGGCGGUGCCGCUCGGCGGCUGCGGGAGCGCUACCGCAUUGGGAAGGAUGCGGCGCGCAGACGGGAGCCGAGCGUCGCCAGUGAGUCACCUGCGCUGAGCAGCGGGGUCGCGGAGCCGGGAGAUGAGCGGCGGCGCGCGUCGCACCUUCGGCCGGGGGCUCACGGUGCGGCUUUUCGGCAGUCCGGGACCGCAGGAAAGCAAGCUGACUGUGGACUUGCCUGUUGUGGACCUCCUGUCCCGUCCAUUAAGCUAACAGCUGACCACAGAACAGCAGGAAACCAGCUGGUACCAACUAGACUGCUUUUAAAAACUUUUCACCAAAACUGUGAGCCUUGCUUAAGUCCAAAAAAGAGUGUCAACGGGCACGGCCUACCUGACCAGGAAAGUCUCUUUUCUCCAUAAUAUCCCAAGUCACAUGUGAAGGAUUCUUGCAAAGACUACAAUUGGAGUGGCACCAUCGAACCCUCGCUGAGCUGGCUUGAGAGGUUGAAAAAGCCCACAUACGUGUUUGUUGAAAUCUAAUCAUCUGGCCAAAGGAAAACAUGUCCGCAGAGGAUUGUGGGAUUGCCGUGGGGUGUGAAAGAGAACCUCUGUCUAUAGGCAGGGAUAUCUUGGGUUGGGCACUUUCAGGCUUCUGAAAAGUUGGUUGCCCAAGUAUCCACCCCCGACAGGUACCCCGAGUUCGGUCUGCAGAUCUACCAGUGUCAGCUGUGAUUGCAAAAGUCUGUAUGAUUAUUUUACUUGAGUUUGUUGGACAUUUUUGGAGCAAUGGGAAUUUAUUUCAGAUCAUGCUAAGCUAUUUAAAUGUGCUACCUUAGUGCAUGUGAAGCCCUAGGAUGUUGGGAAGUCACCAUGAUAGCCUGCAGAUAAGGCUAUGCUUUCUUUGCCACGGAUUCAGACAUAAGUAACACGGUGUAGCUUCAAGAACCUCAACGAAAGCUUUAUAUCAGAAAUAUUCAAUUCAGUUCAAUUCAAUUUAUUUUUAUAGAGCACACAGUGACACAGAGUGCUUGAACACAGGCAUAGAGCAAAGAAAUAAAUACAUCAGACAAGGAAACA
ensembl:lncRNA